rnacentral:lncRNA from 10 species
AAAAUAGAAAAAAGAAAGAGAAAAAGACACCACGAACCGUCUAUCCUCCUGGGUGUGAGGUUUGGAGGGCCUCUCGUCAAAACUUUGGAGGGCUCUGUCAGUUUGAAAAGAACAUGACCUUUAAAUUGUAUCAGUAUGUUUGCUGGUGCAUAAGGGAGAGGAAAAGGUUCGUCCUGAUGGAAAACCACUCAGAAGCCAAGGAGUAAUUCAGAGGGAACCAGCCCAGGAAGAAUCAAGAAAGCUGCCCACAGUGUCAUUCUUCAGCUGAGAAAAGAGAGAGUUGACUAACUCCUCGGACUGGAGUGAGGACUCACAGAGGUGGUAGGACACUAACCAUCUAUGUCUCCAUUUCCUGGGUUGUAACACUGAGGUAGAACAUCUCACUGUCCCAUGGAGGAUUAUGUUAUUUUUGGAGAUUAAUAAUUUUGGAGGAAGAAAGGUGGCUUCCUGAAAAGGAAGUCACAUGAAGAAGCAACUUACACGGUGGUCUCUUUAAAUAAACAUAUUGUGACUAGACAAUGUAUUUGUUCUUUGUAGCAGGAAAGAGCAAUGAGCAGGCUUCUGACUCUAAGCCCUGUUUAUCCUCACGUUGUGAAGCAUAAUCAUUUGUCAGCUUAGGUGAAGCCCCUGUGCCCGGCUGCAAGCCACGGUGCUGUGAAGUAUUGACUGAGUCCGGGUGCC